rnacentral:misc_RNA from 1 species
GGGCAGGCUUCCUUCAGAGCCGCAACACCUUCAUCAUCUAAGAGGAAAAAUGUAAAGGACUCCAAUAGCGAGUGCCUGGUCACACCAAAAGUGGCAGCAAAAUCAUCGAUGAUGUGUCUCCACUCAUCAUCAGGUACUGUCCAUUGCCGGUCAAACAUAAAAUACAAGAAAAUUGCUUGUUUUGCAACUACCAAGUCUGAACUUCCACGUAAAAAGAGAAUGUCAGCAGCAGCCCGCAAACUUUCAAAUGGAUAGCAUCCAGCCAUUCCCUCUAUUUUUG